CGGGGAGAGUGUCUAGGGAUGUCACGCACCUCUGCUACCAGGGAGGAACCUGCCGUGGCAGCAAGCUCAACAUUUAAGAACAGCAAGAGGGGACGUUAUCAGACAGCAGGAUGGGAGUCCAUUACACAUAAUCAGCCAAGACCGUUGAAGAGUGUUUUCCUGACGAGAAGAGUGCAGAGAGCAGGGCUUGACUGCAGGGUUCUGGCUCCAGUGCCAACACACCAGCAAGAGAUGCCUUGCCACAGAAACGCGAGGAGGAGGAGAGACAUCAAGGUGAGGAGGACAUAAAACGUGCAGAGGAGAAGAGAGCGAGGGAGCUGUAUAUCUCCCUAGAGCAGGAACAAAGGAGUGAGAAUGAUGAGAAGGAAUGGGAGGCGCAACGAAGAGAUGAUCACCACAUCAGGAGAGCUUCAGCAGAAGGCAUGCAAACAGACAGACUCAGCCACGGACUAUGGGAAAUCUUCCAAUGACCCCCUCAACACCUUGUCAGUUCACUAUGAACCCCUUUGUGCUCCCUGAGAUGUCACUUUGACCUCACCCCCUUGGAUUCACACAGAGGGAGCUCAGGAGCUCCGAUUUCUCCAGGCGUGGAGCUAUGUCUUCCGACUCCUUCAGACGCCUUGGAUUCACACAUAGGGAGCUCAAGGGCUCUUCAGACUCCAACCGGACCACAGGACUGUCCAUAGACAUCCAUUCCCCCAGUAGCAUCUCACAUGCCUCACCCCCAGCUGUAUAGCAGUGAGGACUGUAUAACACAAAAGAUGAGUGAGCCAUUGAGAUAUAUAUCAUUUCUGCUUCGGGAGUUACACAAAUGAUUAGCAACAGUGCGAUUCAGGACAAGAUCCAGCUUUUAGGGAAAGAGCAGACUUGUGUACACAGGUAAGCAGACAGACACCCAGACACCAGAGGCAACAGGGAACAGAUGUGGAUUGAUAAAAGUGUCUAGCAUCUGUCAAAUACUCCAACUGACACAAUUUAUUUUUGAAUGCUAAGAUUAUCACUUUGUUCCUUAAGCAAAUUUAUGGUAAGAUGCUAAACACAAUUAGGCAAAACAAAGGUCUCAGGGAGUACUACAGCUUUAAAGUAGAGUCAUAGAGAACAUUGAACUUGUUUUUGUGCACUCAUCCCUAUAGGGAAUCUGUUGUCAUCCUGAUAGGGCUUUGUUCCUGGGCCAGACUGCAGUUGAAAGAGAGCAUUUGCAAAGAAAUCAAACUACGUAUAUCGAAUGAAUGCACAUCCUCCUCCCAUAGGUUAAAGCUACUAUGAGAAGGAAUUAAUCAUAAUGCAAACAGUGCAAUUAUUCACUGAGAUCCACCUUGAAUGAAUCUCUUGAAUGAAUGGUGCAAGUGCCCUCCUGUUCAGGAUAUAAGACUAUUGCUGCAGUAGCACUGACAGCUUUUUCCAUGCAACUGGUCCAGAGUGGGUAACCAGAGCUCCUCUUUUCCAACAGCCAGUAUCAUUCAGCAGUUAAGACAGCCAAUAGUUUUGUUAACAUCAGCACACACCCCCACGCACCCCAAAAACACACACAGACACACAUUCAAUCAUAAGCUCAGGUUUCCACAACACUGUAAAGAAUGCAUUCCUGGCUAGUAGAGAUGUGCUGCUGUAGUAAGCAGCAUGAGGGAUUGUUGUGUGGCAGGCAGCUCGAUUUGUCCAGCUUUAGGUAUCAUUUACUGGCAGUAGACCCAGCAUGAGUCAGUGAGCCAGGCAGUCAGUCUGUUUAGAGCAGCCAGUAGUCAGCCACAGCCACACAGCCAUUAAGUUACAUUAAAGUAUCACUCUGAACAUCAACCUCAUCAAAAACACCUCUCGCCAGGUCGUAAAUUGUAUGCAGCAGAGGACAUUUUUUUUACCCUUUAGUAUUGGUGAUUGGAAUGUAGCUUUGUUACAGAGACUUUUGCUGCCCAAAAACGUUUUAGUCCAAAAGUGAACACUGGAACAAUAUUCCUAACAUCCAAAUGUGGGGAAUGAUGAGAGAUGGUCUAUGGAAAACAAAUGUAUAUUUUGUGAUGUCAUUAAAAAUUAUAAUGAAAAUAUUGUAACUUGAACAGUAUACACAUUGUAUAUAUAUCAGGUUUUCAUCCUUUACGUUGUGAAGGAAAUAUCAAAGAUAAUGAGAGUAUUUUUGAGGAAGAGAGGAAUGUGAUUUUAGUUUUCUAGCGAGAUCAUAGUUUUGAUGAUACUUUGCCCCAGUAAGUAGCCAGGCCCGAGGGAGCUCAGAGUGUGUCAGCAUGACGGAAUCGCCCCCUUUUUACCAGAGUGUAUAAAGGAUGAGUUGAGACUCAAGCUGCAGCUUAGGUCUCCAUUGUUUACAACCCUGAAAAUCAACACAAGGUGAAGACGAUAAAGUAGCCUUUCUAACAAUCAAUGUUACGGCUGAGUAUCUGUUCUAAGUACCGUAUCUAAGAAAGUGAAUUUAAGUAGGACCAUCCUGUUACUCUCUUCAAACCAUUGUUGACUGCACUGCCCUCAUCACCCCACUGGGGAUCAUCGACAUCUGAUUAGCUGUAUUUAGAGGACCACUCUUCCAGAAUGAGUGAAAGCAAACACCACCCUGUUAGUUCUGCAUCAGACUACAGGACAAGGCAUUGAAGCCACGGCCAACUAAGAAGAAGGACAUUGUGACUUCUUGUGGUCAAUCAGAGCCUUACACUUAAGAGCUCGGGAGAAGGCCCAACUGAACCCUUUUCACAAAGGCCUCGGUCCAACAGAGAUAAAUGACGUUAAGAAGUCAUUUAAACACAUAAAUACAUUCAUUAUUUCGUACACCAAAUGGUCAGCGGUUCUUGGGCUAAGUAUUAGAAUUACUGUGAGCAUAGUUACAAGUGUUGUCACUCUUUCUUUCUCCCGUUUCCCCUCUCUACUCCUCCCUCUUUUGAUAUACAAGCAGUCAUGUUGCUUUUAGUCUGCUAGGGACCUGUUUCCAUCGUAUUAAGUUGCUAAUCAAUAACCUAUACCGAGUGUGUGUAUCCUGUGUUAUUAUUUAGUUAGUCAGUAAAUACAUCGUUAAAUACAUUUUUGUGGUACGGAAUGAUCAGUAAAGCUGGGGUUUGUCCAGAUAUGAGGAGUAUGCAAAGUUCAGAAU
ensembl:lncRNA